rnacentral:tRNA from 1 species
GAGAAGUUGGCUCAGUGGUAGAGCGCUUGCCUUGCAUGCAAGAGGUCCUGGGUUUGAUUAUUCA